rnacentral:rRNA from 1 species
GACGAACGCUGGCGGCGUGCUUAACACAUGCAAGUCGAACGGAAAGGCCCUGCUUGCAGGGUACUCGAGUGGCGAACGGGUGAGUAACACGUGGGUGAUCUGCCCUGCACUUCGGGAUAAGCUUGGGAAACUGGGUCUAAUACCGGAUAGGACCGCACUUUAGUGUGUGUGGUGGAAAGUUUUUUCGGUGUAGGAUGAGCUCGCGGCCUAUCAGCGUGUUGGUGGGGUAAUGGCCUACCAAGGCGGCGACGGGUAGCCGGCCGGAGAGGGUGUACGGCCACAUUGGGACUGAGAUACGGCCCAGACUCCUACGGGAGGCAGGAGGGGGGAAUAUUGCACAAUGGGCGCAAGCCUGAUGCAGCGACGCCGCGUGGGGGAUGAAGGCCUUCGGGUUGUAAACUCCUUUCGCUAGGGACGAAGCUUUGUUGUGACGGUACCUAGAGAAGAAGCACCGGCUAACUACGUG